AUGGAUCGUAUGGCAGGUGCUCCAAUGGCACGGAAUAUUUUUUGUGCGGUGAUGCGUGAUGCUUCAGACUCUGAAGAUGAAGAUUAUGAGUGUUAUGAAGACUGUGACGACGAUGAUGAUGAUGAAGAAAAGUAUGCACUUCCUGAGUCCAAAGCAAAGCGGGACCCUCUGCUGGAGCUGGUGUCCCUGCAGAAGGCCUCAGGCUGCUGGGAGUUAGAGCCGGCUCUGGCCAAAGCCGUGGGAAAGACGACCAAAGACCUGGAAGACAAACAACCUUCAGCGCCUCGGGUCUGGCUGAGUGUGUGGAAGCAGCCAAUUCUCUGUUGGGGUGCAGUGUGCAGAAAAACGCCUUGGGAAUUUAAGACUUACCAAUCGAUUUUUGCUUCUCAGUCAAGUGUUUACGUAACUGUUUAUGAAAAUGUGCGAAAUGAUUGUGCAUUGAAUAUACUGUUGGUUUCUGUUUAG
ensembl:lncRNA